rnacentral:tRNA from 2 species
GCCCUCGUAGCUCAGGGGAUAGAGCACUGGUUUCCUAAACCGGGGGUCGCGCGUUCGAAUCGCGCCGAGGGUAC